AUCUGAUUACAAUGCACAAAUUUAUUUUAAUCGUUUUUAAUUUUUAUUUAUUUUGCAUCUUAAUUUUAAUGAUAAACUUUAUUUAUAAAUUUUUUAAUUUUAAAUCGACUUUCUCUUGGGAAAGACCGCGGUAUACUUUCAUAUUUAAUAUCAAAUUUUGAUAAUUAAACCCUAUCAAAUUACCGUAAAGUGGCAUAAAUCAUAAAAUUUUGUUAUCUACGUUUAUUAUUUUAAAACAUGUGUAUUUCGAACUUUUAUCAAUCUUUAUCAAUUAAAAAUAUUUAGAUAAAAACUUUCUAGACCUCAAGCUAUCAACUAUGACGAAUGCUUUACAAAACAAGCAAUCAACGCGCCGCCUCGUAUAUUUAGAAACGGAAAGGAGAAACGGGAAUCACCGUAUGUGAUUCCCGCGCGUAAUUUAUUCUGUGAAAGCUGACAAUUGACUUUUUACGGGUCACCAAGGUUACCGGUAAAUAAACUUUGGCUGAUCAGUUCACAGAUAUGAGAGGCUAAUUUUAAAUUCCGAAGUAUUUCUUGUCAGUGACCGACUAAAUUCCAAGUAACUUGAUAUUGUCUCUCGUUUGAUCUGAAGACCAACUAUCAUCGACAAUUUAAUGUCAAUUAUUGAAGUUUUAAAGAAAUAUACAGAUUAACAUCGUCGGCAAUUAACGUUGUCUUGAGUACAUCUUCAGCGUCAUGUCGAGUACCUUGUCCUCCUUGUUAAGUGACGGCGCUCUAAUUGGGAACUGACUGGACAGUAAUUUUACAUGCUACUGUAAGUAAAGUAUGCGUCACAAAAAAAGGAGUACAUAAAAGGAAAAGAAGAAUGUGAGAAAUAAUUAAGAUAUACUCGAUUCAACGUUGGUUUAAAACCGAAAAAAAAAUUUAUUAAGCAAAGAAGACGAAAUUAACGUCUACGAAAUAAAUAAAUAACAUAAAUCUACUGUCGAAAUAAUAAGCAAUAUGAGCAAAAAAAUAUGAUUUUAAUUGACUCUUCAUGUAAUCUCAAUCUUGUGAUAUUUUGUCUUUUGUUUUACACUGAUGAAUUUAAAUUAAUAUUGUAUUAUAUAUUUUUCUAGUACCUUAUAAAAUACUGUAUAGUUUAUGUCCUACACACGUACAAAUUGUAAAGAA